rnacentral:lncRNA from 1 species
CCCGCCCCCCAGUGAAUUAUUAUUGUUUAGAUGUUGGCAGAAGGCAGAGAUCCCGAUGAAGAUUGUGGCUGUAUUGCCAGGUGAAAAUUGAAAGGACAAGGUGAGCACCCAGUGUUCUUGGGCCUCUGAUUUGACAUUGCAAGUGAAUAUCCAAAUUUGUGUAAAAUUUCUGAGGUUGCCCCUGCUCCCUCCGCAUGUGCAGCCAGCGUAUGAACAGCUCUGCCGGUACCACCUGCAGUUGUUUAUCCAUAGCGGAGGGUUGGCAGGGAAAUGCUGGACGUGCCCUCUCGUCUCCCACCAGCAGCACAAGCCGGGCAGCUUGAGCCCCUGGGAAGGGUGAGGAUGAGCUAAAGGGAGCGGAGCUGCCUGCACGGGGAGGAGGCAGUGUCCCUGUGGUCCUGGCCAAGCACCCGACACCGCACGGUGAAGCCACCCCAUCUCCAGGGACACUGCUGCGCCCAGAGUAAGGCUUGCUCCUGGCAAUUUCAGGCUGGUUUUAAGGGUGCCAUUUCACACUGUAAGGGAGUCCCCUUCCAGGCAGAGCUGAGCAGGCUGCAGGUGUUAUAAUUUCCAGUAGUUUGUCACUGCCCCCCACCAAAUGCUCCUGCGCCAGCAGAAGGGCCUGUUGUUGUUAUGAGAAGAGAUGAGAUCCUUUUUUACCAUGUUAUGAGAAGAGAUGAUGAUCCUUUUUUACCAUGGAGUAAAUAUCUCUCUAUAUUUCUGCAGAUAAAGCAGCUGUCACCAUAUGGACAAACAUUCUUUGGAACCCUUCUGAUAAACAGCUUUAGGACAAAUCCACUUCUGCCAGUCCCAGCAGCUUCUGGGUGUACGCCAUCAUGAACCGGACUCAGGGAUCUCAGAAAACUCAGUGCUGGCCUGAUCUCAGACACCCUGCACAGCUGCACGUGGACGUUGCAGCAGGACAGCAGAACCCUAACCUUACCCUGUCCUCCCAGGUUGAAGGUAACCAUUCACCUCUCCAGGAGGAAUGCUGGGGAGAAUACAAAGUGCUUAUGAAAUGACACAGUGAUACAAACUGCUCUUUUGCUGAUGUGGUUGUCAGCAGAGAUUUGCUUUGAGCGCAGACAUAGAAAGUAUGAUUAGAAAAGGUUCCAGUGACCAGCUUCAUUCUCUGUCCAACUCAGUUAAGAUUUUGAUAAUUAAGCAAAUAUAUAUCCAUAUCACGUAGGUUUGCUUUGGAUGUAAAGCUAUAUAUAACCAGUACAUUAGCAGUCUUUUCUAGAACAUAAUUCAACAUUUAGUUUUAAAAAGAUUUUUGAAAUAUAUUGAUGCUGACCAUUAUAAUGCACUCUAAUGCAAAGGAAUCAAUAGCCUUUACACCACAACUAGUUUAUUGUAGAUGGCAAAUGAAUAAUGCAAAAUUCAGUGCACUUAACAGCCCAAUAUUGGACUUCACAAUUUGUAUAAAUCAGAAUGCUUUUUGCAUUUCCUGAAAGGUAAUACCACAAGUUCUACAGACAGAACACUACUAUUUAUUCUUCAAGCAUUCUUUUUCCUAAGUAAAAUAUUUGUGAUUGGUUUUCAUCUUUGUUAUAAAACAUUUGCUUCUUCAAAUUCUUGCUAUGAGGUUGUUGCUAGAAUGCAAUGGAAUUGUUCACAUUGUAAUUCUGAAUUAGAGGAAUUCCACUGUUCAUUAUUUACAGGGAAAGUUACCUCAGAAUAUAUUUCAUAUGCUUUUGCUGAAAAUUAAUCUGCGUUUUGAUAACAGCAACACUAUCCAAGACAAAGCAAGGCCCCUAGUGAGCACAGUAAAAGCAGUAUCCCUCCUGGUUUAAACAGUAGCUAGACAAGGUUGGAAAAAGAUAGCAUUGGAUGAUAUCUCUAAUUCCAUGUUUUCCCACAGUGCUGUAUUUAGGCUCAAUUGCAUCUUGAUUACACGCUAAAAUGUUUUUCCUGAUGCUACUGCUUAGGUUAUUUACAUCACAGAUACUGACUCAGGAAUGUCUAAGAAGUCUCUGUACAAACCAAACACCUAAUUUUAUGCUGCUUGCAUUAUUAGUUUUGAAAUAGUGUUUUGAGAUUUUCUUCCACAUUUGGGCAAAUGGAAAAUGAGACGUGUCCUUGUUUCAGCAGCUGGAUUUAUUUUCAGUUUUUAUUUUACUCUGUAGUAAGACGAUUGAUAACUUUUUAAUUUACUAAUUCAAGUUGAUGAUUGAAAUAUCUGUUUAGCAAAUGUUUCAAAUUUGACUGAAGAAAUGGGAUUAAACAAAAACUGAGAUGAGUUUAUUGUAUAGUACACUCUCAACAUACAUGACAUACAUGGCUGUAUUUUUAUGUCAUGUCAGAACAUAUUAAGCACACUGUAGCGUAAUGGCCUGAUUACAUCCCGCAGGAAGGAUUUGGCAGUAUCAUCAAACCCCACGUAUAAACUUUGGAAGUAAAAAUAAAAAUUGGUGCACUUCAUCA